UCAGAAGGAUGCUGUAGCUCAUGUACCUUGUGUGGGAUAUACUGUAGCGCUUUGUUGCAGUGAAGUAGCAGCUGUGUCAUUAACUGUUCCAAUUCAUACUGGUUAUUCUGCCUCCUUCAGUUUUUCUAAUUCCUGGACCAGUUUGGGUACCCGUCCUUGGCACAGUGCAUCACCAUUUCUGCAUUUCACCUGCAUCAUCAAAUUUGGAGGCCUGGAAGCAGUGAGAGACAGAUCCAAGUUCUGGAGAGAGACUGGUGUUAGUUCCAGGUCAUCCUUGUGAAUUUUAGUUUGUAGCUAUACUCCUGUACUUCGGUUCCAUCUUCCAUGCCAAACUUCAGGUCCGCUGCUGGACUCAGGGACCCAGACCCCUUAAUCAGAGUAGAAGUUACUGUUUUUUAAGUAGGCUCCACACCCAGCUUGGAGCCCAAUGCAGGGCUUGAAUUCACAACCCUGGGAUCAAGACCUGAGCUGAGAUCAAGAGUCGGAUGCUUAACCAACUGAGCCACACAGGAGUUUCAUAGUUUUGCUAAAGAUCCGGAAUAACAACCACAAUACUGAGAAGAAUAAAGUCAGAAAACUGACACUACCGGACUUUAAUAAUUACUAUAAACUGACAGUCAUCAAUGCAGUGUGAUCCUGGCAUAAGAAUAGACAAAUAGAUGAGUGGAACAGACCCAUCCUGAAAUCUCAUGAGAAUAUACAAGAGGAGUAGAGGGAGCUCUCAUUGUCCAAACUGCCUGGAAUGAAGAUUCAGGAAAAACCGAAGAUAUUUUCCUGUCCAUCAGCCAUCAUGAACACGUGUAAGGAAAUGGAAUUUCAUGAACCUUCAUCCUUGAGUAUAAUGCCAAACCACAUUGGACUGGUAGCAUGAGAGAAACACAUUUGUUAUGGUAUUCACCUACUCAGAUCCUAUGUCAUUAUAGAAUAACAUAGCCUAUUUGGACCAAAUCAGACAUUUUCACUCAAGUCAUCCAAGUAUGCGGACAUGUACCUUUUCCAAAGAAUUUACAAUGUUAUAAAAUGUGUGGAGAAAUGUACCAAAGGAAAGAAUACACAAUGGGGAAAUUUUAGAAUUUAAGAGCCCUAAGGAGUAUUCAUAUUUGAAAGAUUCCGUAUUAGAUAAGUACUCUCCUGCUUGCUAGCAAAUAAAAAACAAACCAACAAAGAAUAGCCAUAAAACUUCAAUCUGGAAAGAUGAUCACAGAAAUUUCUUUUAAGUUCAUUAUUCUCUGAAACAACUGCACACACAGAUAUGCCCACUUUAUUUUUUAAUAAAAUAAAGCACCUACCAAAUGUAAGGAGGUGUCAUUUAUAGCAACUUCUA